rnacentral:lncRNA from 1 species
UGUGCCUACUUUUGUGGAUGAACAUCCCUGACAAGGUGGUGCUAUCUGUGAAAGAUGCUGAUCCAGAAAGUCUGAGUGGAGUCCAUGAACUUGCAUUUCCAAUUAGCCCCCAGUGUCUACUGGUGCUGCUGGGGGGCCACCCUUGGAGAGCAAGGCAGAGUCUCCAUGCAUAUUCUGACCUGUAUCCAGGUCCAGUGCAGCAGUGGCCCCCACCCACCCUUGCUCCGUGGCACUCACAAUUCCUGGUAUGCUCUGGGCACUGGGCAUCAGGGACAGAUGUAUAGGACAGCAAGACACAAGGGCGAGAGAGAAAAGGGUAUGUACAGAGCCAGAUGGGUUGGAGCCGGACCCUGAAGGGCACAGAGCUAACUCUGCAACCUUAGACGAGGGUCCUAACUACUUAGAGACUUAGUUUUGCUUCCUGUAAAAUAGGCACUCUAUGUUUCAUAAGGUAGAAAUAAAAAAAUUUUGACACUUAGUUUACCUCAGAGAAAAAAGAAAACAGUGAGCUUUCCAAGGGUCG